GAUGAACGCUGGCGGCGUGCUUAACACAUGCAAGUCGAACGAAGCAUUUAAGACAGAUUACUUCGGUUUGAAGUCUUUUAUGACUGAGUGGCGGACGGGUGAGUAACGCGUGGGUAACCUGCCUCAUACAGGGGGAUAGCAGCUGGAAACGGCUGGUAAUACCGCAUAAGCGCACAGUACCACAUGGUACAGUGUGAAAAACUCCGGUGGUAUGAGAUGGACCCGCGUCUGAUUAGCUUGUUGGCGGGGUAACGGCCCACCAAGGCGACGAUCAGUAGCCGACCUGAGAGGGUGACCGGCCACAUUGGGACUGAGACACGGCCCAGACUCAUACGGGAGGAAGGAGUGGGGAAUAUUGCACAAUAGAGGAAACUAUGAUGCAGCGACGCCGCGUGAGUGAAGAAGUAGUUCGCUAUGUAAAGCUCUAUCAGCAGGGAAGAUAGUGACGGUACCUGACUAAGAAGCACCGGCUAAAUACGUG
rnacentral:rRNA from 1 species